GGGUUGUGAGGUUAAGCGACUAAGCGUACACGGUGGAUGCCCUGGCAGUCAGAGGCGAUGAAGGGCGUGCUAAUCUGCGAUAAGCGCCGGUAAGGUGAUAUGAACCGUUAUAACCGGCGAUACCCGAAUGGGGAAACCCAGUGUGACUCGUCACACUAUCAUUAACUGAAUCCAUAGGUUAAUGAGGCGAACCGGGGGAACUGAAACAUCUAAGUACCCCGAGGAAAAGAAAUCAACCGAGAUUCCCCCAGUAGCGGCGAGCGAACGGGGAGGAGCCCAGAGCCUGAAUCAGCAUGUGUGUUAGUGGAAGCGUCUGGAAAGGCGCGCGAUACAGGGUGACAGCCCCGUACACAAAAGCGCAUGUGCUGUGAGCUCGAUGAGUAGGGCGGGACACGUGGUAUCCUGUCUGAAUAUGGGGGGACCAUCCUCCAAGGCUAAAUACUCCUGACUGACCGAUAGUGAACCAGUACCGUGAGGGAAAGGCGAAAAGAACCCCGGCGAGGGGAGUGAAAAAGAACCUGAAACCGUGUACGUACAAGCAGUGGGAGCACCCUUUGGGUGUGACUGCGUACCUUUUGUAUAAUGGGUCAGCGACUUAUAUUCUGUAGCAAGGUUAACCGAAUAGGGGAGCCGGAGGGAAACCGAGUCUUAACCGGGCGUUAAGUUGCAGGGUAUAGACCCGAAACCCGGUGAUCUAGCCAUGGGCAGGUUGAAGGUUGGGUAACACUAACUGGAGGACCGAACCGACUAAUGUUGAAAAAUUAGCGGAUGACCUGUGGCUGGGGGUGAAAGGCCAAUCAAACCGGGAGAUAGCUGGUUCUCCCCGAAAGCUAUUUAGGUAGCGCCUCGUGAAUUCAUCUCCGGGGGUAGAGCACUGUUUCGGCUAGGGGGCCAUCCCGGCUUACCAACCCGAUGCAAACUGCGAAUACCGGAGAAUGUUAUCACGGGAGACACACGGCGGGUGCUAACGUCCGUCGUGAAGAGGGAAACAACCCAGACCGCCAGCUAAGGUCCCAAAGUCAUGGUUAAGUGGGAAACGAUGUGGGAAGGCCCAGACAGCCAGGAUGUUGGCUUAGAAGCAGCCAUCAUUUAAAGAAAGCGUAAUAGCUCACUGGUCGAGUCGGCCUGCGCGGAAGAUGUAACGGGGCUAAACCAUGCACCGAAGCUGCGGCAGCGACACUGUGUGUUGUUGGGUAGGGGAGCGUUCUGUAAG
rnacentral:rRNA from 1 species